CCGUCGAUAGCUCAGUUGGCGAGAGCGGUGGACUGUAGAUCCAUAGGUCGCUGGUUCGAAUCCUGCUCGACGGA
rnacentral:tRNA from 1 species